rnacentral:rRNA from 1 species
UACGUAGGGUGCAGGCGUUAAUCGGAAUUACUGGGCGUAAAGCGUGCGCAGGCGGUCUUUUAAGUCAGAUGUGAAAUCCCCGGGCUUAACCUGGGAACUGCGUUUGAAACUGGAAGGCUUGAGUGUGGCAGAGGGGGGUGGAAUUCCGCGUGUAGCAGUGAAAUGCGUAGAGAUGCGGAGGAACACCGAUGGCGAAGGCAGCCCCCUGGGCUAGCACUGACGCUCAGGCACGAAAGCGUGGGGAGCAAACAGG